rnacentral:rRNA from 1 species
UACAGAGGGGGCAAGCGUUGUUCGGAAUUACUGGGCGUAAAGGGCGCGUAGGCGGCCUGCUAAGUCGAACGUGAAAUCCCCGGGCUCAACCCGGGAACUGCGUCCGAUACUGGUUGGCUUGAAUCCGGGAGAGGGAUGUGGAAUUCCUGGUGUAGCGGUGAAAUGCGCAGAUAUCAGGAGGAACACCGAUGGCGAAGGCAGCUCGCUGGGACGGUACUGACGCUGAGGCGCGAAAGCGUGGGGAGCAAACAGG